rnacentral:rRNA from 1 species
CCUACGGGAGGCAGCAGUGAGGAAUAUUGGUCAAUGGACGAGAGUCUGAACCAGCCAAGUAGCGUGAAGGAUGACUGCCCUAUGGGUUGUAAACUUCUUUUAUAUGGGAAUAAAAUGUUCCACGUGUGGGAUUUUGUAUGUACCAUAUGACUAAGGAUCGGCUAACUCCGUGCCAGCAGCCGCGGUAAUACGGAGGAGCCGAGCGUUAUCCGGAUUGAUUGGGUUUAAAGGGAGCGUAGGUGGAUUGUUAAGUGAGUUGUGAAAGUUUGCGGCUCAACCGUAAAAUUGCAGUUGAAACUGGCAGUCUUGAGUACAGUAGAGGUGGGCGGAAUUCGUGGUGUAGCGGUGAAAUGCUUAGAUAUCACGAAGAACUCCGAUUGCGAAGGCAGCUCACUGGACUGCAACUGACACUGAGGCUCGAAAGUGUGGGUAUCAAACAGGAUUAGAUACCCGAGUAGUC